GAUCGGUGCUGCUGCUUUGCUUUGGGUGUCGUCCACAGUGCGUUAUGAGUCAGUCACGUAAGCGCUUACCCGAGAGGAGGGAGGAU
rnacentral:SRP_RNA from 1 species